CCCUUAGAUGUUCUGGGCCGCACGCGUGCUACACUGAGUAAUUCAAUGGGUAAGGGAACGCUAGAGCAUUACCUAAUCUUGAAAUUUGCUCGUGAUGGGGAUCGACGGUUGCAAUUUUCCGUCGUGAACGAGGAAUACCUUGUAGGCGCAUGUCAUCAUCAUGCGCAGAAUACGUCCCUGCCCUUUGUACACACCGCCCGUCGCUCCUACCGAUUGAGUGAUCCGGUGAGGCUCUGGGACCUGGACGGAAAGAGCGUUUCGCUUGUUCUGUUUGGGAAACUUGGUCGAACCUUAUCAUUUAGAGGAAGGAGAAGUCGUAACA
rnacentral:rRNA from 1 species